AGAAAGAUGCAAAUGCAUAAAGUUCCGAGCCCUGAUCAUUACCUACUCAUAUCAUUGAGUGAUUUUUCUUAGAAAAUGCUUGUUAGUAGGGUGUCGCCGAUUUUCGAAAUUAUGAAUUUGUUCUAUUCAUUGAAAGUAAAACAGUUAGUGACAGAUUUUUACCUGAUUAUCCUGAUAUUUUAACUGAAUUUGUAUCACCAGUACCUAUCAUUACCGGGAUCAGCAAUUUAGAAGGAAUGAUUGCAUUUACAGAAACUUAUUAGUACAACUGAAGAAAUUAGAAAUUUAUUUGAGAGUCAUUAUGAUGAAGGAGUUAUUAAUAAAGUGAAAAGUUUUUAUUACGACUAAAGUAAUCUGAAAUGUUGAACAACUAAAUUGGAAAAUGUUUAUAAUAAGACUUUGAUCAUGGAUUUAACCAUCUUAUUUACCAUGACACACCAGUUUAUAAUUAUGAAUUUAAAUUUGAUGAAAAAAUUAAUCUGU